rnacentral:tRNA from 1 species
GGGCCUAUAGCUCAGUUGGUUAGAGCAUCUGACUCAUAAUCAGAGGGUCCGGGGUUCGAGUCCCUGUGGGCCCA